AAUGAGUUGGGGCCGGGAUAGGGCAGCUCGCCCUUGAAGAAAGCUCGGGGACUGGUCUUACUGCGCUCUCCGUAGACGUCUUCGUAACAGUCACGUUCUGCCCACGUACAGUUUUUGUCUAUAGUGUGGAAGCGCUGAAGCAGUAUUCCCAGAUUAAGCUUACGGUGUGGUUGUAGUGGUUCCGACUAGAUCGGCCAGUGGGGUUACCAUUAUCUUUGCUUGCGGUUUUUCAUCUUACAGAACAAGAAAAGAAAGUUAACACAUUACAGCUGAAGAUUUUUUUUCUACUUUUAUAACUCAUGCAUAUUGUAAGCAAAAAAUUCAGGAACCUCUGAGCCAGGGAGGAAAGACCAUACUUGUACAAUAACAUCUUGUGUAGUUACACAAAAACUAAUUUUAUUAAAUAAACAGUACUAUAAUUUCACUUCGAGUAGCUAAAUGAUCAUCGUGUAUUCGAAAUAUAGGCCCAGUUGUUGAAUGAAAAACGUAGUACCUUCGUUUAUAGCAGCACAUCGAGUACGUAAGAGCCUACAAUGAAAUUGUGUGCCUCAAAGUGCUUAUCCCAUAGACGAAUAAAUUGUAGUUAACAGUGCUUUUGUGCGUUUUCUUUGUCUACGCUUUAAAGGGCUCCAAGUAAACUGCUUAAAUCUGAAACUGCCUUAUUAUGAGGACAAUGACAUUAAAAGUUUAAAAAGUGAAUGUUAAAACAAUGCUAACAAAACUUUUUUUUCAGCAGCAAACCUGAAAUUGAGAGUUAAAUUUUUAGAAGUCACAUCCUCCAGAAAUAUUUCUAGCUUUGGCCACAUCGUUGUGAGAAGUUAUAUUCACACACACAUAUAUAUAUAUAUAUAGAGAGAGAGAGAGAACAUAUUCAAUAUCAAAGCGUUACGAUGGUAAAUAUAUGGGCCGUUCAUUAUUGGAUAUAAUGUUGAGAAAGAUGGAAUGAAAGGAAAGCCAUUAUUGAUUUAAUUUCUCCAUCGUGUAAAACAACCACUUAGCAGGACAACUUUAAGGCUACGAUAAAACAAACGUAGAAAAUCAACCACAGUCUUUUUCUGUUGGAAACUGCAGUAAUAUUUGUUAUAAACGAACUUUAUGAAACGAGGUCUAAACCGAAGCAAAAAUCAAUCUCAAGCCUCAGUAAGUUUAACAACGAUAAAAACUAACUAGCAUUCACAAUUAUUUUGUUGUACCAACUGAAAGAACAAUUAUGCAAAAAAAUAUUAUGUUUAGUAACCAAUGACGUCAAAAUGCAUCAUGUACAUUGUGUUAUUGUGCUUUUUCAUAUACAAUUUAAAUAUUUUUCACCGAUUUUGCUGUUCUACGAAGGAUGGAUAUAAUACUAACCAGUAUAUGCAAGUUAAGUUUGGAAUGUGCGAACGUGAAACUUUGAACGAAAUUAACAUCUACGAUGCCAUCAAUGUGACUUUUCCAGUUAUGUAGAGACCAAUAUCUAUAGAAUACCUGUUUAAGCCUACUAAGGCAAUGGAAUCUUGAUUCUUAAAUAUACCCUUUUAAUUUUUCUUGUUUGAAUUACCCACUUUCACGUUACAUAUUUACAAGUUUUUCAAUUUAUAUAACUUGUCUAAUUUUUCAUACCACAUCUUUGUAUGGCUGACCCCUUUAUUCUAACUUGGCUGAUUUUUGUACAUGUAAAAUGUUUUGAUCAGAUUAAAAUGUACGUGUUACAAUUUUCAAACCGUA
rnacentral:lncRNA from 1 species